CCUACGGGAGGCAGCAGUGGGGAAUAUUGCACAAUGGGGGAAACCCUGAUGCAGCGACGCCGCGUGAGUGAAGAAGUAAUUCGUUACGUAAAGCUCUAUCAGCAGGGAAGAAAAUGACGGUACCUGAGUAAGAAGCCCCUGCUAAAUACGUGCCAGCAACCGCGGUAAUACGUAGGGGGCCAGCGUUAUCCGGAUAUACUGGGGGUAAAGGGAUCGGGAACGGUGCGGCAAAUCUGGUGUGAAAGGCCGGAGCUUAAAUGCGGGACUGCUUUGGAAACUAGCGAACUAGAGUGCGAGAGGGGUAAGCGGAAUUCCAAGUGAAGCGGUGAAAUGCGUAGAUAUUAGGAGGAACACCGGUGGCGAAGGCGGCUUACUGGACCGUAACUGACGUUGAGGGUCGAAAGCGUGGGGAGCAAACAGGAUUAGAUACCCCAGUAGUC
rnacentral:rRNA from 1 species